rnacentral:rRNA from 1 species
GAGGAAUAUUGGUCAAUGGGCGAGAGCCUGAACCAGCCAAGUCGCGUGAAGGAAGACUGCCCUAUGGGUUGUAAACUUCUUUUGUACUAGAGUAAAAAAGGGUAUGUAUACCCACUUGCAAGUAUAGUACGAAUAAGCAUCGGCUAACUCCGUGCCAGCAGCCGCGGUAAUACGGAGGAUGCGAGCGUUAUCCGGAUUUAUUGGGUUUAAAGGGUGCGUAGGCGGGGAUUUAAGUCAGCGGUGAAAGUUUGAGGCUCAACCUUAAAAUUGCCGUUGAAACUGGGUUCCUUGAGUGUAGAUGAAGUAGGCGGAAUUUGUGGUGUAGCGGUGAAAUGCAUAGAUAUCACGAAGAACUCCGAUUGCGCAGGCAGCUUACUAAGGUACAACUGACGCUGAAGCACGAAAGCGUGGGUAUCAAAC